GUAAAAGGUAUCGCUCUGCAGCCAAUGGGAUCUUCUUAGGCAAGACAUGAGCAAUGCACUAUCGAUGUAGCUAUCCGAAGCUAUCAGAAAGUGUUGGACCGUUCUGGACACAUCUGUCUGAUGAGCAAUCCGGUAGCAUUAUGAAGAAUGUCUAUUCAUCUGCUGCACAGCCAUUGGCCACCUUGGACAGUCCUAAGAAAUGUUUGUUUUAUGCUUCUCAAAAGUACAAAGACACCUGGGGAGGAUGUUGACAAAAGACCAGAGGUGAUUGAAGAAUCUGUUCGCGAUGCCACACUCUCCCGUACAAACACAGACCAUGGAAAUGUCUGGUACCUCAGGGAGGCAAACAACACUCCAUUGUCUUCUCAGCAGGUUCUCCCACAAAAAGAUUGUCUCCCAUCUUUUGAAUCACAGACAUCUGAACGACUUACUGCAUUCUAUUUAGAAAAGUUCACAUCCUGAUUGACAACUCUUGACUUUGUCGUGAUCAUUUGAUAAUGAGCUCGUAAUUAUGCUGCAGUGUUUUUCAAACUUGCAAGUAAGGAUUACCUGCAAUUUUGCUCUUUGUUCAGCUACGUUCGUUUAUGUUAGCUCGUUUAAAGUAUGCAAGUUUUGUCCUAUUUCAGUAGUAUACACCCUGGUCCUGUGGAGGAAAAUAUACAUUUACAAUAUCAUAAUAGAGGUAAUCUUACAUUUGCGUAAUUCUGUUGGUAUUGAUGUACAUGCAGUUUUAAGUAUUUGCCAGUCACUUAAAGCAGAAAUCUCUUUUUACCUUCUGAAAAGAAAACUCUUCUGAUUCAGUUAAACUAACAAGCACUCAUUACAUAAUGCUAUCCAAGGUCGGGCUAAGCUGGUAUAUCCUCAAAAGGGCUGAUAUGACUUUGAUAUGGAAAAAUCUAACUAUAAGCUAUUUAAUCAACUUCUUCGAUCUGCUAAUUUAAAUAUAACUUUUAAUGAUGGCUCUUUCAUGACAAAAGUAAUGGCAGUUAAAUAUAUUUGCGUCUGGCUUGAUCCAGAAAUCAAUUUUAAACCACAUAUUGAUUAUAUAAUUAAGCAUAUAUUGUGAUGUCUUAUGCCUCUUUAUAUAUCUUAAAACUGUUUUACACAACAAACAAGAAAAAAGAUUAUAACACAAUUUAUUUUAUCUAUAAUUGACUAUGCAGAUAUACUUUGUCGAAAUACAUUUGAUAACUAUUUGAAACCACUCAAAUUACUGUUUAAUACUCUGUCGAUUUAUUACUAAGGUGCCCUCAUAGAACACAUUACUGUUUAUUAUAUGAACAGCUGAAGUGGUUACUUCCUGAUGAAAGACAACAGUGUCACUGGUUACAAUUUAUCUUCAAAUGUAUUUUUUGUAAUGCACCUCCAAAUUUAAAAUGUUUUCUCAUUCCUUAAACAAUAACAUAUUCUCUUUGCAGUUCUCAGUAUCUGUCCUUUAAUGUACCCUCGACUGAAAAGGAGACUGGUAGAAAGUCUGUCUCAUAUAAGGCCCAAAUGUCUGGAAUUAUCUGCCUGUCAAUCUAAGGUCAAUAACUUCUUAUGGACUCUUUAGGUCUUCAUUGUAUACUCACCUUAAGACUGAUUGCCUAUGCCUGUGACUAACCAUUUAACUAUUCACUGAUAUUGUCUGUGAUUGUAUUAAUUUGUGACAUAAUAUGAUUCACACUCAUGUUUGUAAUAAUUGAAUGUAAAAGUGCACUGUGAUAAUAACUGAGUGUGUGGGUUUGUUUGUGUGAGCAAGAUUCUCCUGUGUCUUGUUUGUCAUUUUUGUAUUGUUUCUCCUGUGUUUUGU